AUGCAGGCUAGAUAGUUGAGCCAACUGGAUUAUAGCGUUGUUCCGAUGAGAAAACUUGCAAAAUAUACAAAGUUGGAAGCCAACGAUCCAACAGUCGAUCAUGAAAGAAUACUUUCAGUUAAAGUGGACAACUGUGAUUGUCUAUUAGCAGUAACAUGUCCAAAAGCAGCACGUGCAUGAUUGGUAUCUCCAGGAUCUCUAUAAACCACAUAUUGGAUAUGAAAAUGAGGAUAAUGAAGCAGUAUACCGCCGUAAUGUUUGUUUUCAUCUGUAGAAAACCUGAAUUUUCGUUUUGCGGCGGCGGCUUUUGGGACAUGAUCGCGCCCUCGCGCUGCUCGCCGGUGUGUAGAGUUCCACCCAAUGUCUUGGACCUGGGCGAUGCAGUUGCGGGGUGUGGCUGCGUGUUCUGGAGGCUGGGCGUGCCGGUGUGGAGGCUGGGCGUCGUUGGUUGAUUUGCUGCAGGGAAUGCGUGUGAGGUGUGGUGGUUGGUGGCGGACGACCUCCAGCAGGGAGGCCCAUCUCCCAUAAUCGCGUUGUAGUACAUGCAUGGAAAGACACUGAAUCAUUCGAAUUAAUUAUUGUGUGAUUUGCUCUGCAUGAUAGUUA